GGGUUGUGAGGUUAAGCGACUAAGCGUACACGGUGGAUGCCCUGGCAGUCAGAGGCGAUGAAGGACGUGCUAAUCUGCGAAAAGCGUCGGUAAGGUGAUAUGAACCGUUAUAACCGGCGAUGUCCGAAUGGGGAAACCCAGUGUGAUUCGUCACACUAUCGUUAACUGAAUACAUAGGUUAACGAGGCGAACCGGGGGAACUGAAACAUCUAAGUACCCCGAGGAAAAGAAAUCAACCGAGAUUCCCCCAGUAGCGGCGAGCGAACGGGGAGCAGCCCAGAGUCUGAAUCAGCUUGUGUGUUAGUGGAACGGUCUGGAAAGUCCGACGGUACAGGGUGAUAGUCCCGUACACCAAAAUGCACAGGCUGUGAACUCGAAGAGUAGGGCGGGACACGUGGUAUCCUGUCUGAAUAUGGGGGGACCAUCCUCCAAGGCUAAAUACUCCUGACUGACCGAUAGUGAACCAGUACCGUGAGGGAAAGGCGAAAAGAACCCCGGCGAGGGGAGUGAAAAAGAACCUGAAACCGUGUACGUACAAGCAGUGGGAGCACCUUCGGGUGUGACUGCGUACCUUUUGUAUAAUGGGUCAGCGACUUAUAUUCUGUAGCAAGGUUAACCGUAUAGGGAGCCGCAGGGAAACCGAGUCUUAACUGGGCGUUAAGUUGCAGGGUAUAGACCCGAAACCCGGUGAUCUAGCCAUGGGCAGGUUGAAGGUUGGGUAACACUAACUGGAGGACCGAACCGACUAAUGUUGAAAAAUUAGCGGAUGACUUGUGGCUGGGGUGAAAGGCCAAUCAAACCGGGAGAUAGCUGGUUCUCCCCGAAAGCUAUUUAGGUAGCGCCUCGUGAACUCAUCUUCGGGGGUAGAGCACUGUUUCGGCUAGGGGGUCAUCCCGACUUACCAACCCGAUGCAAACUACGAAUACCGAAGAAUGUUAUCACGGGAGACACACGGCGGGUGCUAACGUCCGUCGUGAAGAGGAAACAACCCAGACCGCCAGCUAAGGUCCCAAAGUCAUGGUUAAGUGGGAAACGAUGUGGGAAGGCACAGACAGCCAGGAUGUUGGCUUAGAAGCAGCCAUCAUUUAAAGAAAGCGUAAUAGCUCACUGGUCGAGUCGGCCUGCGCGGAAGAUGUAACGGGGCUAAACCAUGCACCGAAGCUGCGGCAGCGACACUAUGUGUUGUUGGGUAGGGGAGCGUUCUGUAAGCCUGCGAAGGUGACCUGUGAGGGUUGCUGGAGGUAUCAGAAGUGCGAAUGCUGACAUAAGUAACGAUAAAGCGGGUGAAAAGCCCGCUCGCCGGAAGACCAAGGGUUCCUGUCCAACGUUAAUCGGGGCAGGGUGAGUCGACCCCUAAGGCGAGGCCGAAAGGCGUAGUCGAUGGGAAACAGGUUAAUAUUCCUGUACUUGGUGUUACUGCGAAGGGGGGACGGAGAAGGCUAUGUUAGCCGGGCGACGGUUGUCCCGGUUUAAGCAUGUAGGCUGGUUAUCCAGGCAAAUCCGGAUAAUCAAGGCUGAGGUGUGAUGACGAGGCACUACGGUGCUGAAGUAACAAAUGCCCUGCUUCCAGGAAAAGCCUCUAAGCAUCAGGUAACAUCAAAUCGUACCCCAAACCGACACAGGUGGUCAGGUAGAGAAUACCAAGGCGCUUGAGAGAACUCGGGUGAAGGAACUAGGCAAAAUGGUGCCGUAACUUCGGGAGAAGGCACGCUGGUGUGUAGGUGAAGCCCCUGCGGGUGGAGCUGAGACCAGUCGAAGAUACCAGCUGGCUGCAACUGUUUAUUAAAAACACAGCACUGUGCAAACACGAAAGUGGACGUAUACGGUGUGACGCCUGCCCGGUGCCGGAAGGUUAAUUGAUGGGGUUAUCCGUAAGGAGAAGCUCUUGAUCGAAGCCCCGGUAAACGGCGGCCGUAACUAUAACGGUCCUAAGGUAGCGAAAUUCCUUGUCGGGUAAGUUCCGACCUGCACGAAUGGCGUAAUGAUGGCCAGGCUGUCUCCACCCGAGACUCAGUGAAAUUGAACUCGCUGUGAAGAUGCAGUGUACCCGCGGCAAGACGGAAAGACCCCGUGAACCUUUACUAUAGCUUGACACUGAACAUUGAGCCUUGAUGUGUAGGAUAGGUGGGAGGCUUUGAAGCGUGGACGCCAGUCUGCGUGGAGCCAACCUUGAAAUACCACCCUUUAAUGUUUGAUGUUCUAACGUUGGCCCCUGACCGGGGUUGCGGACAGUGUCUGGUGGGUAGUUUGACUGGGGCGGUCUCCUCCCAAAGCGUAACGGAGGAGCACGAAGGUUAGCUAAUCCUGGUCGGACAUCAGGAGGUUAGUGCAAUGGCAUAAGCUAGCUUGACUGCGAGCGUGACGGCGCGAGCAGGUGCGAAAGCAGGUCAUAGUGAUCCGGUGGUUCUGAAUGGAAGGGCCAUCGCUCAACGGAUAAAAGGUACUCCGGGGAUAACAGGCUGAUACCGCCCAAGAGUUCAUAUCGACGGCGGUGUUUGGCACCUCGAUGUCGGCUCAUCACAUCCUGGGGCUGAAGUAGGUCCCAAGGGUAUGGCUGUUCGCCAUUUAAAGUGGUACGCGAGCUGGGUUUAGAACGUCGUGAGACAGUUCGGUCCCUAUCUGCCGUGGGCGCUGGAGAAUUGAGGGGGGCUGCUCCUAGUACGAGAGGACCGGAGUGGACGCAUCACUGGUGUUCGGGUUGUCAUGCCAAUGGCACUGCCCGGUAGCUAAAUGCGGAAGAGAUAAGUGCUGAAAGCAUCUAAGCACGAAACUUGCCCCGAGAUGAGUUCUCCCUGAGACUUUAAGUCUCCUGAAGGAACGUUGAAGACGACGACGUUGAUAGGCCGGGUGUGUAAGCGCAGCGAUGCGUUGAGCUAACCGGUACUAAUGAACCGUGAGGCUUAACCUUACAACGCCGAAG
rnacentral:rRNA from 1 species